rnacentral:rRNA from 1 species
CCUACGGGCGGCUGCAGUGGGGGAUAUUGCACAAUGGAGGAAACUCUGAUGCAGCGACGCCGCGUGAGGGAAGACGGUCUUCGGCUUGUCACCCUCUGUCUUUGGGGACGAAAAUGACGGUACCCAAGGAUGACGCUCCGACUAACUACGUGCCAGCAGACGCGGUAACACGUGGGGUGCGAGCGUUGUCCGGAAUUAAUGGUAGUACAGGGUGCGUAGGCGGGCGAGAAAGUUGAAGGUUAAAUCCACCGGCUUAACUGGGAGCUGCGUUCAAAAAUGCGUGACUUGAGUGAAGUAGAGGCAGGCGGAAUGCCUAGUGUAGCGGUGAAAUGCGUAGAUAUUAGGAGGAACACCAGUGGCGAAGGCGGCCUGCUGGGCUUUAACUGACGCUGAGGCUCGAAAGCGUGGGGAGCAAACAGGAUUAGAUACCCUAGUAGUC